rnacentral:lncRNA from 1 species
UUAUCAUACAAUGCUUUUAAUUAUUCAUACAACUUAUUCAACAAGAAGUUACCAAGAACCAGUUCCACUAUGGACCCUGUGACAGAUGUUCAGGUACAAAGAAGAGUCAAGGCAGCCCUCGUCUCCCUCACAACACAGCUCAGGCUGUGACCCUCAUGUGUUCAACCUUUACUGUCUGCCCACCUUCGCUUGCUUGGACAGCUUCGUGGCAAGAGGUUCUCUUCACCACCAGCUAUGAUUCCUUCCACUUUCCCUCCAAUCAACAUCCUCUUCUGAUCUCACAGGUGUAUCCAAUCAAAUCGAAUUGAACUUAUGUCAGGAAUGAGUCCCU